AUGCCAAAUCGCAGCAACAACAAGAAAGCAAUUCACCAAGAGUUAUCAUCUUUCCAUCCACAGUGCUUACUGUUACAAGGACUAGUUGACCUUGGCACUCCAAAUCCCACUGUGGAUGAAAAGAUGAUUACUUACCAAAGCUGUAUUAGUCAUGAUGGAUCAGUAAUCAAAGAGCGGAUGUCCUUGGCAGUAUCAGUUGAAAUAUUUGUUACUUCUAGAGAAACAGAGGAAGUCUUUGAUUACUGUAGAGAACGGACACAUCCAGACAACAUCAUUUCUAGGUUGCUCUAUUGUGCAUUUCAUGAACGAAACUGGUGUAGUCCCCCUCCACAGAGUUCUUUCCUAUGUUCCUCUUGUUCACCAUUGCGCUCACUCCCACUGCACCAUCAGAAAAGGAAGAACUACUAUCAGAGUGGAACAAGAGGACAAAGAUGUUUAUAG
rnacentral:sRNA from 1 species